rnacentral:rRNA from 1 species
ACGCAUUUCACUUUGGAAACAGCGGUUCUCGUGUGGUCAAGACAGCUUAAGCACGUAGGGCUGGUUCAGUACUUGCAUGGGUGACCGGUUGGGAAUUCCGGGUGUUGCGGCC